UACGUAGGGUGCAAGCGUUGCCCGGAUUUACUGGGCGUAAAGCGCGCGCAGGCGGCUAUCCAAGUCAGUGGUGAAAGCCCGGAGCUCAACUCCGGAACUGCCAUUGAAACUGUUUAGCUUGAGUAUGAGAGAGGUGAGUGGAAUUCCCAGUGUAGAGGUGAAAUUCGUAGAUAUUGGGAAGAACACCGGUGGCGAAGGCGGCUCACUGGCUCAUUACUGACGCUCAGGCGCGACAGCGUGGGGAUCAAACAGG
rnacentral:rRNA from 1 species